rnacentral:tmRNA from 2 species
GGGGCUGAUUCUGGAUUCGACGGGAUUUGCGAAACCCAAGGUGCAUGCCGAGGGGCGGUUGGCCUCGUAAAAAGCCGCAAAAAAAUAGUCGCAAACGACGAAAGCUACGCUUUAGCAGCUUAAUAACCUGCUUAGAGCCCUCUCUCCCUAGCCUCCGCUCUUAGGACGGGGAUCAAGAGAGGUCAAACCCAAAAGAGAUCGCGUGGAUGCCUUGCCUGGGGUUGAAGCGUUAAAACGAAUCAGGCUAGUCUGGUAGUGGCGUGUCCGUCCGCAGGUGCCAGGCGAAUGUAAAGACAGACUAAGCAUGUAGUACCGAGGAUGUAGGAAUUUCGGACGCGGGUUCAACUCCCGCCAGCUCCACCA